UCCGUAGGUGAACCUGCGGAAGGAUCAUUACGAAAUUCGGCGCGCUUCGGCGCUGCCUUAUUCACCCACCCUUUGUCUACGUGUACCUCUAUAGCUUCCUCGGCGGGCUCGCCCGCCGCCAGGAACCCACGAAACCCCUUGCAUUAUACACGAAAACUUCUGAUAACAAACCUAAAUUAUUACAACUUUCAACAAUGGAUCUCUUGGUUCUGGCAUCGAUGAAGAACGCAGCGAAAUGCGAUAAGUAGUGUGAAUUGCAGAAUUCAGUGAAUCAUCGAAUCUUUGAACGCACAUUGCGGCCAUAGGUAUUCCUUUGGCCAUGCCUGUUCGAGCGUCAUUUACACCCUCAAGCCUAGCUUGGUGUUGGGCGUCUGUCCCGCCGAUUUCGCGCGCGGACUCGCCUCAAAGUCAUUGGCGGCGGUCGUGCCGGCUCCUCGCGCAGCACAUUUGCGCUUCUCGGAGGCCCGGCGGAUCCGCGCUCCAGCAAAGACCUUUCAUGACUUGACCUCGGAUCAGGUAGGGAUACCCGCUGAACUUAAGCAUAUCAAUAAGCGGAGGA
rnacentral:rRNA from 3 species